rnacentral:rRNA from 1 species
UGCAAGUCGAGCGCGUGUAGCAAUACACGAGCGGCAGACGGGAGAGUAACACGUGGGAACGUACCCUUCGGUUCGGAAUAACCCAGGGAAACUUGGACUAAUACCGGAUACGUCCGAAAGGAGAAAGAUUUAUCGCCGAAGGAUCGGCCCGCGGCUGAUUAGCUAGUUGGUGAGGUAACGGCUCACCAAGGCUACGAUCGGUAGCUGGUCUGAGAGGAUGAUCAGCCUCACUGGGACUGAGACACGGCCCAGACUCCUACGGGAGGCAGCAGUGGGGAAUAUUGGACAAUGGGCGCAAGCCUGAUCCAGCCAUGCCGCGUGGGUGAUGAAGGCCCUAGGGUUGUAAAGCCCUUUCGGCGGGGAAGAUAAUGACGGUACCCGCAGAAGAAGCCCCGGCUAACUUCGUGCCAGCAGCCGCGGUAAUACGAAGGGGGCUAGCGUUGCUCGGAAUCACUGGGCGUAAGGCGCACGUAGGCGGAUCGUUAAGUCGGGGGUGAAAUCCUGGAGCUCAACUCCAGAAAUGCCUCCGAUACUGGCGAUCU